rnacentral:rRNA from 1 species
CGCUUCUUUUUCCACCGGAGCUUGCUCCACCGGAAAAAGAGGAGUGGCGAACGGGUGAGUAACACGUGGGUAACCUGCCCAUCAGAAGGGGAUAACACUUGGAAACAGGUGCUAAUACCGUAUAACAAUCAAAACCGCAUGGUUUUGAUUUGAAAGGCGCUUUCGGGUGUCGCUGAUGGAUGGACCCGCGGUGCAUUAGCUAGUUGGUGAGGUAACGGCUCACCAAGGCCACGAUGCAUAGCCGACCUGAGAGGGUGAUCGGCCACAUUGGGACUGAGACACGGCCCAAACUCCUACGGGAGGCAGCAGUAGGGAAUCUUCGGCAAUGGACGAAAGUCUGACCGAGCAACGCCGCGUGAGUGAAGAAGGUUUUCGGAUCGUAAAACUCUGUUGUUAGAGAAGAACAAGGAUGAGAGUAACUGUUCAUCCCUUGACGGUAUCUAACCAGAAAGCCACGGCUAACUACGUGCCAGCAGCCGCGGUAAUACGUAGGUGGCAAGCGUUGUCCGGAUUUAUUGGGCGUAAAGCGAGCGCAGGCGGUUUCUUAAGUCUGAUGUGAAAGCCCCCGGCUCAACCGGGGAGGGUCAUUGGAAACUGGGAGACUUGAGUGCAGAAGAGGAGAGUGGAAUUCCAUGUGUAGCGGUGAAAUGCGUAGAUAUAUGGAGGAACACCAGUGGCGAAGGCGGCUCUCUGGUCUGUAACUGACGCUGAGGCUCGAAAGCGU